AUUGAACGCUGGCGGCAGGCUUAACACAUGCAAGUCGAGCGGAGAUGAGGUGCUUGCACCUUAUCUUAGCGGCGGACGGGUGAGUAAUGCUUAGGAAUCUGCCUAUUAGUGGGGGACAACAUUCCGAAAGGAAUGCUAAUACCGCAUACGUCCUACGGGAGAAAGCAGGGGAUCUUCGGACCUUGCGCUAAUAGAUGAGCCUAAGGCGGAUUAGCUAGUUGGUGGGGCAAAGGCCUACCAAGGCGACGAUCUGUGGCGGGUCUGAGAGGAUGAUCCGCCACACUGGGACUGAGACACGGCCCAGACUCCUACGGGAGGCAGCAGUGGGGAAUAUUGGACAAUGGGGGGAACCCUGAUCCAGCCAUGCCGCGUGUGUGAAGAAGGCCUUAUGGUUGUAAAGCACUUUAAGCGAGGAGGAGGCUACUGAGACUAAUACUCUUGGAUAGUGGACGUUACUCGCAGAAUAAGCACCGGCUAACUCUGUGCCAGCAGCCGCGGUAAGAC
rnacentral:rRNA from 1 species